ensembl:lncRNA
UUUUUUUUUUUAGGGCCGUACCCUUGGCAUAUGGAGGUUCGCAGGCUCGGGGCGGAAUUGGAGCCACAGCUGCCAGCCUACAACACAGCCACAGCCACAGCCACACAGGAUCCAAGACACAUCUUCGACCUACACCACAGCUCACGGCAACGCCAGAUCCUUAACCCACUGAGCGAGGCCAAGGAUGGAACCCGCAUCCUCAUGGAUCCUAGUUAGAUUCCUUAACCACUGAGCCACAAAGGGAGCUCCCAGGGUAGAUGCAAGCUUGCAUUCUUCUUCAACGCUGGUGUUUAGUGGCCCCAGGACUGGUUCUGGGGGUCUUCCUUUCUGGUUCUCAUUUGUUGGGGGUUUCAGUUCUGCAGAAGAAUUCAAAGAUAUUGUUACAUGUACUCCUUCAGGGGGAACCAGGACCUGCCCCAAGGCUGCAAUAUUGUCUCUUGACUGCUCCUCCCUUCCCUGAUUAGCAACUGUGUGAACCUGCCCUUUGGAACUCAGAGAAGGUCAUGGAGGCCAAAAUUUAUUCCCUAAAAACAAGAAAAAGGGGGCACAGGUAGGCCUGUGCCCAGGAGCCACGCACGGCCCUGCUCGGUUCAGUGGGGCAACCGUGGAGGAGGAGGGGUCAGCUGGUGCUGCCGGGAAGUCAGGGGAGGGGGAGAGAGGGGAGGGGGUGGGGAGGGGAGAGCUGGCAGUGAAGGCGACGACCCUCAGCAGCAGCAAGUGCUCUGGUCUCUAGACAUACAAGACAGAGUGAGCUGGAUACAUUUCUAGAGCCCGGGGGUCAGGGUUUCACCAGGGCCAGGAGAGCAAAGCUGGAUGUCAUGACCUGGAUGUGCCUGCCCAGAGUCGGGGAUUUUUAGCCUUAAUUACUGAAUACCUUACUUGACUAGCUCUAACCUGAGGUCAAGUUUGUUUGGAAAAAGACAAGACCUGAAGAGGGAAUUCUGGAAGCAGGGCUGGCCCAAUGCAAAAUCGGAAGUUGGCACUUAUCUGUGUCCUUCCCUCGACCUCUGCUCUCAGAGCCACUCUCUGCAGGUGCCCGUCCCACUCUGUGCCUGCCUCCCACUCCCCAAGGACCUCUGCGGGCAGGGCUUGCUCACCCGUUAUUUCACUAACCUGAAGCAUGACCACCUGUGAGGUUCUCACGGGGCUGCAGGUGCGGUGCCCUGACCACGUGCUCCUAACAUACGUCAUUUCACUGAGGACCUAAAAUUCCCAUGUCAUAGGCCUGUCACCCGCACGCCAGUGAUGCACCCCUCCCUUGACGGCUGCUUUGUCUGUUCUCCUCUUGCUGUUUCUGGCAAACUAACCAAUCAGAACCAAUCAGCAUGGAUUCCCGGCCAUAAAUUCGGAGACUGGGGGUGCUGCCCUGAGGUCUGGGUGCAUAUCAUCCCUGCUUGGGGCCCUUAGGUGUGAUCAACAUGCUGGUGGCCUUGGCCACCGGUUCAGCCUUCCCUGGGAGUCCGUUGACUGCAAGUGGAAAAGCCAGGAUUGCCGGGCCUUUCGACAGUAAAAGAACCGAGGAUUCUGAGCUGUGGGAAGAUGACGUAUGUGGUUACAGGCUGAGGCAAAGGCCUGUCUCUGGCCGGUUGCCUCUUGCCCGCAGUCCUGAGCAGGCUGUUCCAUUUGUAACUGGACGGUGUCUUGAGAUGUUAAUUCAACCCUAUUCUUACUACUCAGGGCCUACAGAGUUCAUUUUUCCCUUUGCUGAACCUCUGAGUCCUGGAAGUCUGGGAUGCCCUUGGCAAAGGAGAGAGGGUACACCCUUUGAUUUCUCAGCCUGAGGCUCAGAAAGCUGUGGGCUCUUUAUCUGAAAAGGGGAAGUUUCAGAUGAAUGAGUGACCCAGGUUAGAAGGAUGCUUUGACCUUGGGGGAGCUUGGUUAGCUAAGCAGUUGGCGCGAAGGGGGGUCCACAAGGGCUAGAGACCAGAGCCCCAGGAUGCAGAGGGAGGGCCAGGCGAGGCUGGACACUAGUGUCUUUUUACCAAACUGUGGUCCAUGACUGGCAAUGACCAUCACCUGGAGACUCAUCAGAAAUGCAGAGUCUGAGACCCACUGCGUUCCAUUUGUGUUUAACCAGAUGGCCAAGUGUCUGGUGUGUGAGAGCUUCUCUAGGUUACAGGGCUUGGGGCCUUGGCAGCGAUGCCCAGACAAACUUGGCACAAAGGGAGAAAGUGGGGCCGCGUCAUCGGAAGACUCCCCGCUGGACAAGAUAAUGAGGAGUAGCAACCAGAGCCAUCCUCCAGUUUUCCGGGCUCUGCAAGCACCCAAGUGUCUCCUUACAACCCAAGGAGGGGGAAACCCCCCAGAACAUGAUUGAGGAGGAAUGUCCUACCACAGCCCCUGAAGGCGAGUGAGUGAAUUUACAAAGUAUAAAAAUAUCUGAUGUAUCUUCCACCUGAGUGCUGUGGAGUUAGUUUUAUCCUUUACGUGGUUAAAUGGAUUUCCUGACAAGGUGUGUGUGUGGAAUACCUACUCCCUACUGUCAGCACACACAUGAGAUUUUCAUUCUUUUUGUUGAAAAUUCACCCAAAUCCACGUAAAGAGUUUUGCUGCAUAGCAAUUUCAAAUCUUAGUGGCCUGUAACAAACAUUCCUUUCCUUGCUCGUGCUCUCAGGGUCUGUGGCUCUGCUGGAAUCAAUUUGGCUUGACUCUGAGCCACAGGUAGAGUUCGAGUCUGACCCACAUGUCUCCAUGUAGCAGAACCAACAGCCACAGCCACCCAAGGCAUAUUCUUCUGAUGGCAGAUGGCAGAAGUAAAGCAUUCAAACCAAAUGGUAAAGCACCUGCUGGCAUCACACUUGCUUACAUUUCAUUGGCUGAGUCAAGUCAUAUGGCCAUGCCCAGGUGAGCAAGUCAGCUCCAUCCACUCUAUUGAGAGGCAAUAUGAUCACAUGGCAAAAGAAGAGAGGAGAGAAAUGGGAACAGAAAUCCCAUUUGCACAGUACAUUAGCCCCAGAAAGGCUGUCUGGGAUGCCGAAGGCUCUGAGCAGCCAGGGUCAACCCGGGACUGAGAGUGUAGACAAGAGCUGCUUUCUCCAGGGAAUGCUAAAAGUGUCAUUUUAAAUAUGCCCUGCUCAUUUCUUAUUAACCUGAUCUGAAGGCAGUAAAAAUAUAAGAGUUAACUUCAGGAUUAUUUGUGCAGGAAAGUUAGUCAAGAUUUUUCUGAUUUAAAGCAAAUGGCCUUAUUUCCUUAAUAGUCAAUAAUCAUGAGUCUUAAGGAAUAUUUAGUACAAGUUUAGAACAUGCUUUCUUAUAGAAAAGUUUCAAAUAAAAUAACAUAUGGUAUAAUAAUAAUAGCAAGGACGAUGGCAACAUUUUUGAAUGUUUACUAUGUGCUAGACGUAUUUAAUCCUCAAUCAACCCUAUAAGUUAUAUUAUUAUCCACAUUUUAUAAAUGAGGAAACAAACUUAAUUGCUAAUUAGGUCCUUUUUUUCAGGGUCAGCCAGCCAGAAGUGUGAAAAAUUCUUGAACUAAACAUCUCUUAGCCUCAUUGUUCUUGUCUGUGAAAUGAAAAUAAGAAUCCUCACCCUGAUAUUAUUAGGCAUAAUGACAAAAAUCUAUAUCAGCUAGGUAUACUGUAGGCUUUCAUAAAUGAUACCCACUUUAAAGGAAUACAGCUUCUUGAUCUAUAAAAGGAAGGCAGUCCCUGCCCCCUUUAUCACUGUAGGAAACAGGCUUGACUGUUCUGAUAAUCAACACACCAGAAGAAAGGACAGCAGAUAACCAAACUAUUAAUUUUUUCCAAGCUUCUCCCCAAAAUACUAAAUGAGGAGGAGCUCCCUGGUGGUCUAGUGGUUAGGAUUCGGUGCUUUCACUGUGGUUGCCUGGGUUCAACCCCUGGUCUGGGAACUAAGAUGCUGUGGCAAAAAAAAAAAAAGUUACUAAAUGAGGACUUGAAAACAAUAUUAAAACUGGCUGGACAGUUUCUAAGAGAGAAGUACUGUGCUUUCAUCUCUUUCCUCUAGUAGGAAGGGGAGGCUUAAGACAAGGGAGGAAGAACCAAAAAGAAGUGGUUGAGCUUGUAUCAGUCUUUUCUGGGAGCUAGCUGGUAGGUGCUCUCCCCUGCUGGGGAAUGGGGACCUGGCAGCAGCAAAAAGCCCACAUACCAGAGAAAUCAACUGUCACCCUAUAUUUGGUAUCUAGACUAAGAGGCCAUUCCUGUUGCAAAUCCAUUCAUAAUCCCUAAAGACAUGUAAAAUCCAAAAACCAUAAGAACAUGUAAUUGGCAAGUUAAGAAGUCAUAAGAAUCAACUGAACAUAUCUCCGUGGAAUGUAUUUAAAAGAGAAUCAACCACAGACCCUGUAGCCUUUGAAAGGAUAAUAAAGAAAUUCUAUGAACAAGUCUGUAUACAUAAGUUCAAUAACUUGAAUACAAUGAACCAAUUCCUUGAAAACCACAAACUGGAGUUCCUGUCAUGGCACAAUGGAAAAGAAUCUGACUAGGAACCAUGAGGUUGCAGGUUCAAUCCCUGGCCUUGCUCAGUGAGUUAAGGAUCUGGCGUUGCCAUAAGCUGUGGCGUAAGUCGCAGAUGCCACUCAGAUCCCGAGUUGCUGUGGCUGUGGCAUAGGCCGGCAUCUGUAGCUCCAAUUUGACCUCUAGCCUGGGACCUCCAUGUGCCGCAAGUGCAGCCCUAAAAAGCAGAAAAAAAAAUUAAAAAUUAAAAAAUAAGACCAUAAACUAUCUGAACUCAAUCAAGAUGAAAUAGAUAAACUGGAUAGUUCUUUAACUGUAAAAUCAAUCAAAUGUAUAAUUAAAAUCCCCCCACAAAAUAAAUCUCCAGGCCAAGGUAGUUUCAGUGGAAAAUUCUACCAAGCAUAUAAGAAAUCACAUUAAAUAUACAUGAGCUCUUUCAGAGCAUAAAAGAGGAAGGAAAGUCCCAACUAAUUUUAUGAGACACACUUCACCCUGACAUCAAAACCAGACAAAGACAGUACAAAACAUUAAAACUACAGACCAAUAUAUCUCAUGAAUUUAGGUGUAGAAAUACUCAACAAAAGAUAAGCAAAUUGAAUCCAGGGGUAUGUAAAAGGAAUUAUAGACCAUGACCAAGUGUAUUUAGUCUAGGUAUACAAGCUGGUUCAUCAUUUAAAAAAAAAUCAUCGAAAACUAUCCACCAUAUCAAUAAGCUAAGAAGAAAUAUCAUAUGAUCAUACAGAUUGACAUAGAAAAAGCAUCUGACAAAUACCAAUACCAAUGUAUGAUAAAAAAAAAACCCUCAGCAACUAAGGAAUAGAAGGAAAUCAUGUCAACCUGAUAAAAAGCAUCCACAAAAAUCCCACACUUAACAGCAUACUUCAUAAGGAAAGACAGAAUGCUUUUCCCAUAAUAUUGGGAACAAGUCAAAGCAAGAAUACCUAGUCUCACCACACUUAUUCAACGCACUACUAGAAGUUCUAGGUCUUGCAAUAAGGCAAGAAAGAGAAAUAAAAGGCAUUCGUAUCAGAAGGAAAGUCAGAAAAUGUUCCCUGUUUGCAGAUGACAUGAUGGUCUACAUAGAAGAUCCCAAGUGAUCUACCCUAAUCUACCACAAACUCCUAUACAUAAGAGAGUGUAUUAGUCUUGUAGGGCUGCCAUAACAAAAUACUACAGACUGGGGCCUUAAACAACAGAAAUUUACAUUCUCAGGGUUCUGGAGGCUAGAAGUCUAAGGUCAAGAUGCUGGCAAGGUUGAUUUCUGUUGAGGCCGCUUUCUGUGGCUUGCAAACAGUCACCUUCUCACUGUAUCCUCACAGCCUUCCCUCUGUGUGCAUGUUCCUGGGGUCUCUUCUUCUUCUUAUAAGCAUGCUAGUCUUUUUGGAUUAGGGCCCUACUCUUUAUCUUUUACCCCCUAAAAGGCCCUGUCUCCAAGUAUAUCACACUUGGGGUUAGGGCUUCAAAAUAUGAAAUUUGAGUUGUUCCCUUGUGGCUCAGCAAGUUAAGGAUUCAGCAUUGUCACUGCUAUGGUGCCGGUUUGAUCCCUGGCCUGGUAAAUUCCACAUGUCACAGGUGUGGCCAAAAAA